AAUGAACGCUGGCGGCAUGCCUUACACAUGCAAGUCGAACGGCAGCAUGACCUAGCUUGCUAGGUUGAUGGCGAGUGGCGAACGGGUGAGUAAUGCAUCGGAACGUGCCUUUUAGUGGGGGAUAACGUAGCGAAAGUUACGCUAAUACCGCAUAUUCUCUGAGGAGGAAAGCAGGGGACCUUCGGGCCUUGCGCUAGAAGAGCGGCCGAUGUCGGAUUAGCUAGUUGGCGAGGUAAAGGCUCACCAAGGCAACGAUCCGUAGCGGGUCUGAGAGGAUGAUCCGCUACACUGGGACUGAGACACGGCCCAGACUCCUACGGGAGGCAGCAGUGGGGAAUUUUGGACAAUGGGCGCAAGCCUGAUCCAGCCAUGCCGCGUGAGUGAAGAAGGCCUUCGGGUUGUAAAGCUCUUUCGGCUGGGAAGAAAUCGCACCCUCUAAUACAGGGUGUGGAUGACGGUACCAGCAUAAGAAGCACCGGCUAACUACGUG
rnacentral:rRNA from 1 species